rnacentral:rRNA from 1 species
GCAAAAGCUAAUGCGUGAGACUGCGGUAGGACAUUAGUGAAUAUAGGACGUCCAACUUAACUUGGAGUCCGAACUCUCACUUUCUAACCCUGUGCACUUGUUUGGGAUAGUAACUCUCGCAAGAGAGCGAACUCCUAUUCACUUAUAAACACAAAGUCUAUGAAUGUAUUAAAUUUUAUAACAAAAUAAAACUUUCAACAACGGAUCUCUUGGCUCUCGCAUCGAUGAAGAACGCAGCGAAAUGCGAUAAGUAAUGUGAAUUGCAGAAUUCAGUGAAUCAUCGAAUCUUUGAACGCACCUUGCGCUCCAUGGUAUUCCGUGGAGCAUGCCUGUUUGAGUGUCAUGAAUACUUCAACCCUCCUCUUUCUUAAUGAUUGAAGAGGUGUUUGGUUUCUGAGCGCUGCUGGCCUUUACGGUCUAGCUCGUUCGUAAUGCAUUAGCAUCCGCAAUCGAACUUCGGAUUGACUUGGCGUAAUACACUAUUCGCUGAGGAAUUCUAGUCUUCGGAUUAGAGCCGGGUUGGGUUAAAGGAAGCUUCUAAUCAGAAUGUCUACAUUUUAAGAUUAGAUCUCAAAUCAGGUAGGACUACCCGCUGAACUUAAGCAUAUCAAUAAGCGGAGGAAAAGAAACUAACAAGGAUUCCCCUAGUAGCGGCGAGCGAAGCGGGAAGAGCUCAAAUUUAUAAUCUGGCACCUUCGGUGUCCGAGUUGUAAUCUCUAGAAAUGUUUUCCGCGUUGGACCGCACACAAGUCUGUUGGAAUACAGCGGCAUAGUGGUGAGACCCCCGUAUAUGGUGCGGACGCCCAGCGCUUUGUGAUACAUUUUCGAAGAGUCGAGUUGUUUGGGAAUGCAGCUCAAAUUGGGUGGUAAAUUCCAUCUAAAGCUAAAUAUUGGCGAGAGACCGAUAGCGAACAAGUACCGUGAGGGAAAGAUGAAAAGCACUUUGGAAAGAGAGUUAACAGUACGUGAAAUUGUUGGAAGGGAAACGCUUGAAGUCAGACUUGCUUGCUGAGCAAUCGGUUUGCAGGCCAGCAUCAGUUUUCCGGGAUGGAUAAUGGUAGAGAGAAGGUAGCAGUUUCGGCUGUGUUAUAGCUCUCUGCUGGAUACAUCUUGGGGGACUGAGGAACGCAGUGUGCCUUUGGCGGGGGUUUCGUCCUCUUCACACUAGGAUGCGUAAAUGUGGUGGAGAAAGUAAAACUUUUGC